rnacentral:sRNA from 1 species
GCUUUCAACAUCCCCGUCUCAAGGACAAAAGACGGCGCCGUCUAUCGGCUCCUGACGUCCUGGUGAGACUGAAGGC